GUGCCAGCCGCCGCGGUAAUACGUAGGUUGCAAGCGUUAAUCGGAAUUACUGGGCGUAAAGCGUGCGCAGGCAGUGAUUUAAGACAGAGGUGAAAUCCCCGGGCUCAACCUGGGAACUGCAUUUGUGACUGCAUAGCUAGAGUACGGCAGAGGGGGAUGGAAUUCCGCGUGUAGCAGUGAAGUGCGUAGAUAUGCGGAGGAACACCGAUGGCGAAGGCAAUCCCCUGGGCCUGUACUGACGCUCAUGCACGAAAGCGUGGGGAGCAAACAGGAUUAGAUACCCUGGUAGUCCACGCCCUAAACGAUGUCAACUGGUUGUUGGGUCUUCACUGACUCAGUAACGAAGCUAACGCGUGAAGUUGACCGCCUGGGGAGUACGGCCGCAAGGUUGAAACUUAAAUAAAUUGACGG
rnacentral:rRNA from 1 species